AGGGAUCAUUACUGAGUGAGGGCUCACGCCCGACCUCCAACCCUUUGUGAACACAUCUUGUUGCUUCGGGGGCGACCCUGCCGGCACUACGUCGCCGGGCGCCCCCGAAGGUCUCCAAACACUGCAUCUUUGCGUCGGAGUUUAAACAAAUUAAACAAAACUUUCAACAACGGAUCUCUUGGUUCUGGCAUCGAUGAAGAACGCAGCGAAAUGCGAUAAGUAAUGUGAAUUGCAGAAUUCAGUGAAUCAUCGAAUCUUUGAACGCACAUUGCGCCCUUUGGUAUUCCGAAGGGCAUGCCUGUUCGAGCGUCAUUUCACCACUCAAGCCUGGCUUGGUAUUGGGCGUCGCGGCUCCGCGCGCCUUAAAGUCUCCGGCUGAGCCAUUCGUCUCUAAGCGUUGUGGAUUUUCUAAUUCGCUUCGGAGUGCGGGUGGCCGCGGCCGUUAAAUCUUUACUCAAGGUUGACCUCGGAUCAGGUAGGGAUACCCGCUGAACUUAA
rnacentral:rRNA from 1 species